AGCGGUUAUCUGAUAUUUAACAUUUUGCCAUUGAUGAAGUAUUCAUGGUGCUGAAUUUCUGCUCUCACCUUCACUUCACCGUAGUCACCACUAGAGGACAGCACUGAGCUUCAACCUUAUGUCCUUGUCUGAGUUCCAUGUCGAAGGCCUCAUCCCUAUGCCCUAAGCCCUUCAAUGUGUUUACCUUCUAGAGUGAGAGCUUCAAGGGUUGAAGGGUGUAGGGCACCAAACAACGGUUUCUUGAAGUGCUCUUCUGUGUCAUCAUCCCAUGCUGUUGCCACGCAAAGAUUCAUACGGUCACCAAGUGUCCAUCAGCUGUACCCUUGAAAUAUUUUCAUUCUGAAGGGCCCUUUGAAGUGGCCAGUUAUGAGCACCUCAGUUUGGAACGACCCUUCAACAUGGCGACCAUGGUUGUUUCCCCCCCUGAAGUUCAUUUUGGAGGGCGAUAACCAUUUAGGAAGAAAAUAGAAAGUGGGGGUAUUUGUCAAGUUCAGAAGCUGCAUCAGGAAACACUGAAACACAAGUAAACGCCUGAAGACGCUGUUAGAGAGAUCAAGAAUUAAUUAAUUGUUUAUUUUUUUCUUUAAACCUAUAAAGCUGCUUUGCAACAAUGACACAUUGUGAAUUGAAAUUCACUGAAUAUACAGAUACCAGAGAAGAUGACUGAAUACAUGAGAAGAAUGAAGAUGAUGUUGACUUUCACACUGCUGAUGAUUCCUGGAGCUCUGAGCUUCAGUGUGACGGGAUAUACAGGAGGAGCAGUCACCACAUGUCAUUAUGACAGAGGAUAUUCAACAAAUGAAAAAUAUUUUUGUAGACUUAGUGCAGACUUGACAAAAAA